UACGUAGGGGGCUAGCGUUGUCCGGAAUCAUUGGGCGUAAAGAGCGUGUAGGCGGCCCGGUAAGUCCGCUGUGAAAGUCGGGGGCUCAACCCUCGAAUGCCGGUGGAUACUGUCGGGCUCGAGUGCGGAAGAGGCGAGUGGAAUUCCUGGUGUAGCGGUGAAAUGCGUAGAUAUCAGGAGGAACACCAAUUGCGAAGGCAGCUCGCUGGGACGUUACUGACGCUGAGACGCGAAAGCGUGGGGAGCAAACAGG
rnacentral:rRNA from 1 species